CCUACGGGUGACAGCAGUGAGGAAUAUUGGUCAAUGGACGAGAGUCUGAACCAGCCAAGUAGCGUGAAGGAUGACUGCCCUAUGGGUUGUAAACUUCUUUUAUAUGGGAAUAAAAUGUUCCACGUGUGGGAUUUUGUAUGUACCAUAUGAAUAAGGAUCGGCUAACUCCGUGCCAGCAGCCGCGGUAAUACGGAGGAUCCGAGCGUUAUCCGGAUUUAUUGGGUUUAAAGGGAGCGUAGGUGGAGUGUUAAGUCAGUUGUGAAAGUUUGCGGCUCAACCGUAAAAUUGCAGUUGAAACUGGCAGUCUUGAGUACAGUAGAGGUGGGCGGAAUUCGUGGUGUAGCGGUGAAAUGCUUAGAUAUCACGAAGAACUCCGAUUGCGAAGGCAGUUCACUGGACUGCAACUGACACUGAGGCUCGAAAGUGUGGGUAUCAAACAGGAUUAGAUACCCCUGUAGUC
rnacentral:rRNA from 1 species